AUUAGUAUUAACAGUUUGUAACAAAAUACAGUUAAACGUUUUUAUAGAAACUUUUUCCUACUUUAUGACAAUUUCGCUGUGGUUGUUAUAUAUAUUUUGCUUAACGUGUUGUAAAGCAGUGAAUUAUUUUCAGCUCACUCCAAAUGACUCCAUGGAAAACAGUUUAAAAAAUUUAUUAAAGGAUGACUUGACACCUCCACCAAAACCUGUAACUCAUGAGAUGGAUGACAAAAAGACAAGCGCUGAUAAAUGGAAAAAUCCAAAUAAUCCUCUUCGUGGAAUCAUCAAGCAAUACAAGGUAUCGAUUUUUAUCAGUGAUGUAAAAGAAAUUAUUUUGAACCCGUAUAAAUAAGAAAGAAUCCCUACUGGAUUAAUUGAGAAUGUUCAUUCAUUAAUGUUUUUUUUUUAUUUUUUUAAGACAAAGAAGUGUGCAGAUAACAAAUCGUGUGAUUUAAAUGAGCUGAAUCGUCAUAUAGGGAAGGAGAUAAAUUCAGAAUUGUAUGUUAAAAUGUUGCGAUUUUCACAAAAAUCUUCUACCCCCAAGGAUAUGGAAAUGACUAUGAGUGUUUCAAAUGAUAUGAAAUCCAUCCUAGCGGUAGCGCAGUCUUUAAAAUCGAUAUUGUCGAGUACGUAGUACGUUUUUUCUUUAUCUAGUAUCAAUGUGGUUAUUAUGUGAAUUUCUCUUCUAGUUAUUGGAUUUAAAGACUCCAAUGAUUGUUUGAAUAAUAGUCUAAAAAAUAUGGUGAGCGAAAACCACUGUGUAGUCAACUCAACCAAAAUGAUAAAAAUUUUUUAUUGUUAUGUAAAACAUUUAACGUUAAAAAGUACAACGAAAUUUCCAUUUUAUUUAGCAAUCGUUACGUGAAUGCGGUUUGGAUUUUUUUACGGGUAAGCAUUCUCAAAAAAGAAAAAAAAACAACCGAUAACAAAAAAACCUACCUUUACUUCUUUUGGUAGAGGCAGCCGCCGCCUUUGAUACACUAUAUGAAUCAGCUUUGCUUAGUACGCGAGUUCUAGCAGGUUAAACAUGAUAGAGAAACCGAAAAAACUCAUAAAACACUAGUGCAUGUACUGCUGUUUUAGGAGGGCGUAAAGCUCAAAAUGCCUUAGCCCGACUGACCCAUAUUUUUACGGCACCCUAUGGACCCCAAUGUUUAAGAGGUAGUUCAAACAAUCAUAAUACUUUUCAUGUGUCGUGUCCUUUACCAUUCUUCAGCCACAGGUACCAUUUAGCAUUACACACCUUUCGAUUCAAUGGUAACUGAAUAUAACAAGAAAUGUUUAGGAAUACCAUUGUGCUGCUUGGUGUUAUCUGGAAAAGAAGCUACCCCCGAUCAUUUACGAUGGCAAGCUCUCUCACUAGUAACGUUACUAUCGAACGUCCCUUCAGCAACAACUAUAGAUGAUGUAUCUUCAGGUGGUUUCGGUCACGUUAAUAUAGUUUUACCGAGUCCGUCAAGGAUUUAUGAG